GCCGCCAUAGCUCAGUCGGUCAGAGCAGGGGCCCCCAGCUCAAAAUCGCAGGAUUGAAUCCUGCUUGCGGGUA